rnacentral:ncRNA from 1 species
GGUUUCAAUAGGUAUUAAGGAUCCGUAGGCGGUAUAUUACUACUAUAGUCUAAUAGAAGACAAUGGAAUACUGGGAGUAGAGUUGAUAUUCAUUGAUACCCAGUGGACCACUCAUGGCGAAGGCAAUUGUCUAGGUAUGACUGAAGCUGAGGGAUGAAAGUUAAGGUAGCAAAAUGGAUUAGAUACCCAAGUAGUCUUAACUGUAAACUAUUUACACCUAUCUGUUGUCUAUAAAGGUAUACUUUAUUAUUAAUAGACAGCUUGACAGCCAACUGCUGUAUGUGUAACACC